CCUACGGGAGGCAGCAGUGGGGAAUUUUGGACAAUGGGGGCAACCCUGAUCCAGCAAUGCCGCGUGAGUGAAGAAGGCCUUCGGGUUGUAAAGCUCUUUUGUCAGGGAAGAAACGGACUGGGUUAAUACCUUGGUCUAAUGACGGUACCUGAAGAAUAAGCACCGGCUAACUACGUGCCAGCAGCCGCGGUAAUACGUAGGGUGCAAGCGUUAAUCGGAAUUACUGGGCGUAAAGCGUGCGCAGGCGGUUAUGUAAGACAGAUGUGAAAUCCCCGGGCUUAACCUGGGAAUGGCAUUUGUGACUGCAUGGCUAGAGUUUGGCAGAGGGGGGUAGAAUUCCACGUGUAGCAGUGAAAUGCGUAGAUAUGUGGAGGAAUACCGAUGGCGAAGGCAGCCCCCUGGGUCAAGACUGACGCUCAUGCACGAAAGCGUGGGGAGCAAACAGGAUUAGAUACCCUGGUAGUCCACGCCCUAAACGAUGUCUACUAGCUGUCGGGUCUUAAUUGACUUGGUAACGCAGCUAACGCGUGAAGUAGACCGCCUGGGGAGUACGGUCGCAAGAUUAAAACUCAAAGGAAUUGACGG
rnacentral:rRNA from 1 species